rnacentral:rRNA from 1 species
UACGAACCGUCCAAACGUUAUUCGGAUUCAUUGGGCUUAAAGGGUACGUAGGCGGCGCGGUAAGUCGGGUGUGAAAUCUCGGAGCUUAACUCCGAAACUGCAUUCGAUACUGCCGUGCUUGAGGACUGGAGAGGAGACUGGAAUUUACGGUGUAGCGGUGAAAUGCGUAGAUAUCGAUAAGGAAGACCAGUGGCGAAGGCGGGUCUCUGGACAGUUCCUGACGCUGAGGCACGAAGGCCAGGGGAGCAAACGGG